UACGAAGGGGGCUAGCGUUGCUCGGAAUCACUGGGCGUAAAGGGUGCGUAGGCGGGUCUUUAAGUCAGGGGGUGAAAUCCUGGAGCUCAACUCCCGAACUGCCUUUGAUACUGAAGUAUCUUUGAGUUCGGGGAGAGGUGAGUGGAACUGCGAGUGUAGAGGUGAAAAUUCGUAGAUAUCGCAAGAACACCAGUGGCGAAGGCGGCUCACUG
rnacentral:rRNA from 1 species